AUUGAACGCUGGCGGCAGGCCUAACACAUGCAAGUCGAACGGUAACAGGAAGAAGCUUGCUUCUUUGCUGACGAGUGGCGGACGGGUGAGUAAUGUCUGGGAAACUGCCCGAUGGAGGGGGAUAACUACUGGAAACAGAUGCUAAUACCGCAUAACGACUUGGACCGCAUGGUCCGAGUUUGAAAGAUGGCUUCGGCUAUCACUUUUGGAUGGUCCCGCGGCGUAUUAGCUAGAUGGUGGGGUAACGGCUCACCAUGGCAAUGAUACGUAGCCGACCUGAGAGGGUAAUCGGCCACAUUGGGACUGAGACGCGGCCCAAACUCCUACGGGAGGCAGCAGUAGGGAAUCUUCCACAAUGGACGAAAGUCUGAUGGAGCAACGCCGCGUGAGUGAAGAAGGGUUUCGGCUCGUAAAACUCUG
rnacentral:rRNA from 1 species